AUUACCGGACUCGCAAAACCCAACCGUUUGUUCGGAAGGUGAGCCUGUCUGGGUCGGGGCGUUCUAUAAAGCGCCCAUCCUCAUCCCGUGAAAUCGCUUCGCGUGGAGUGCUUACGACGUAUGCUGAGGGAAUUAGGAAAGCCACGGGUCGGGUGACCCGUGGUCGUUUACGCCCCGAUCGCCUCG
rnacentral:ncRNA from 1 species